UGAGCAAUCUGCCCUUCUCUUCGGAAUAAGCGUUGGAAACGACGUCUAAUGCCGAAUACGACCUCCUUUCGCAUGAUCGGAGGUGGAAAGCUCCGGCGGAGAAGGAUGAGCUCGCGGCCUAUCAGCUAGUUGGUGUGGGUAAUGGCCCACCUAGGCGACGACGGGUAGCCGGCCUGAGAGGGUGGCCGGCCACACUGGGACUGAGACACGGCCCAGACUCCUACGGGAGGNAGCG
rnacentral:rRNA from 1 species